GGAGGACAGGCUGGCAGAGGAGGGAGGAGGGUUUCUAGCUGAGAGAGACUGCGGCUGUGGGCCUGCAACCUACCCCUCUUCAAGCUCUCCGGAGCCGUUCCUGCGAAACCAGCCCCCACAAAUAAGGAAGCUGGGAUUCAGAGAAAUUAAGGGACUUGGUGAAGCAGAGAAUGCCAAGGGAAUUGAUUCAGUAGUGGACGGGGAGUCCCUGAAGAUUGGUGAGCAGUGAAGAGACCUGAUCAAAUACUUAAAAAGUACAUGCAAUGGCAAGAAGAUCAACUAAGAGAUUCUUCUUAUGUUGCUAUUUUGAACUCCUGAACUCAAGUGAUCCUCCUGCCUUGGCCUCCCAAAGUGCUGGGAUUACAGGUGUGAGACACUGCACCCUGCCCAAGCACCUCUGCUCCGUGCCAUGCUCUUGGUUAGUUGGAGUUGUGAAAGGCAUGAGGAUUCUGGUCAUGGACUCAGCUCUCCCAUAGGGUUCUGACACCAAAGCAAUGGUCACAACAGUGAAAGGAAGAAUCCAUCUGGCCAGGCUCAGGUGGUUCAAGGCCUUCAGAAUCUGCCUUGAGACUCUCACUGGCUUUAGACUGAAAACCAUCUUGGCCCCGUCCAUCCGUGUAAGCAAUUUAACGACAGCUUGCAAAGCACCGAGCUUUAACAGA
rnacentral:lncRNA from 1 species